GAUUCCACACACUAGGAAGCCCCUUCGCGGGAGGAGAGUGCGCGUGGCGGAGGGGGGAAGCUUUGGAGCCGCGGAGGAGAGCACAGCCACAGGGGUGCGGAGGGCAAAGCGGAGAGAUUCCCGCACAGAGGAUAGGUGCCAACUGGCACUCACCAGCCCGAGAGGUUUGUCUGCUCAGCCGCGGGGGUGGGCGGGGCUUUAGUCGGAGCGCAGGGAGAGGACCGGGGUUGGUGGUGUGAACAUAGCCUGAAGGGCUUAGUGCACCACGGCUAGCCGGGAGGGAGUCCGGGAAAAGAUCUGGAGCUGCCGAAGAGGCAAGAGACAUUUUCUUCCCUCUUUGUUUCCUGCUGCGCGAGGAGAGGGGAUUAAGAGCGCUGCUUAAAGGAGCUCCAGAGACGGGCGCGAGCCGUGGCUAAAAGCGCGGACCCCAGAGACGGGCAUGAGACGCUAAGGCUGCUGCUGCCGCCACCAAGAAGGCGAGCACAGACGCCCUCCAGCGACCUACACGCAGAGGCGGGGCCAAAUCCAAAGCUGAGCCCCUGGGAGCUGUGCAAACAAAGAACAGAAAGGGAAAUCUCUCCCAGCAGCCUCAGAAGCAGCGGAUUAAAGCUCCACAAUCAACUUGAUGUACCCUGCAUCUGUGGAAUACAUGAAUAGACAACGAAUCAUCCCAAAUUGAGGAGCUGGUACCUGAGGAGUUGUAUACCUCUGGGAAGAUAUGUGCUCCAGACCCGUAAAUAUGCAGUUCACAGAGCCCACCACCGGAGGACAAUAAUGAAAGACAGAAACACACAGAGACAAUUCCAUGCGACAACAGUGAAAGAGACCAGAGUGAUGCAGCUGCAAAUCAAAAAACUGCCAACACCAGUGAUUGAUGGCCACCACCAGAAUCUGGUUAAGACAAAGAGGGAUCCUCCCCUUGAGGCGUCAGAAAGAACAUGGUCCUCUCAACACUUUGAGUUUGAACUUCUGGCCUCUAGAGCUGUGAUAAGAUAAAUUUCUGUUCUUUUAAGCUAACAAGUUUGUGGUAUCUUGUUAUGGUAGCCCUAGAGAUGACAGUAUUUGAUUCCUGAGCUGGCGACUGUAUUUUGAUUCUGUAAUGACUAUUCCAAGAUAAUCAACAGACACAAAGAUAAAGGCAAAACUGAGACUAAGCCCAGUUCUUUUUAUUCCCAGAAUAAUAAAUGAUGUUUUAAUUAAUUUAGAUCUCUUUGUCUAACCCCUCUGCUUUUCAGAAGAGUAUGUGGGACCAAUCAAGUAUUAAUAUGUUAUACUUUCAUUUUAAUUCAUCUCAAAUUAUUUCUAAUUCCCCUUAUGAGUUCUUACUUGACCCAUGAAUUAUUUAGGAAUAUAUUCUUUAAUUUCCAUUUGUGAUUUUCAACAAAUUUCUUUCUGUUAACGAUUUCUUAUUGCAUUCUGUUGUCAUCUGAGAGCACUCUUCGUAUUGUUUAUAUCCUUUAAAAUGUACUGAAAUUUGUUUUAUGCUCUAGCAUAUAGUAUAUCCAUGUGCAUUUGAAAAGAAUGUAUAUUCUGAUGCUGUUGGGUGGAAUGUUUUAUAGAUGGCUGUUAGGUCUACUUGAUCGAUAAUGCUGUUCAAGGUUUUUAUUUUCUUGUUGAUUUUCUGUCUGUUCUGCUAUUGAAAGAAGGGUAUUAAAGUAUACAACUAUUAUUG
ensembl:lncRNA